GACGAACGCUGGCGGCGUGCCUAAUACAUGCAAGUUGAGCGAUGAAGCUUGGUGCUUGCUCCACUUUGAUGAGCAGCGGACGGGUGAGUAACGCGUGGGGAAUCUGCCUUUGAGCGUGGGACAACAUCUGGAAACGAAUGCUAAUACCGCAUAACAACUUUAAACAUAAGGUUCAAGUUUGAAAGAUGCAAUUGCAUCAACUAAAAAUUAUCUCCCGGUGGAUUAGGUAAUUGGGUAGGUAAAGGCUCACCAAGGCGAUGAUACAUAGCCGACCUGGGGGGAGGAACGGCCACAAUGGGACUUGAACACCGCCCAAACUCCCACGGGAGGCAGCAGGAGGGAAUCUUCGGCAAUUGGCCAAAGUCUGACCGGGCAACGCCGCGUGGGUUGAGGAAGUUUUCGGGUCGUAAAACUCUGUUGGUAGAGAAGAACGUUGGGGAGAGUGGAAAGCUCAUCUAGUGACGGUAACUACCCAGAAAGGGACGGCUAACUACGUG
rnacentral:rRNA from 1 species